CUUCAGGUGGUACCAAACUAAACAAUUCUGCAACAUCUGCUAUAUUUGAUACAGGAGCACAUGAUUUUGGCUAGCAUAACAGCUCUGAAAGGGCUGAAUCUUUAAGGAAGUUAAUUGCUGUGGGGAAGAUCCUAUGCAAUCCCAUGUGUGGUUGCUUUCUCCAGAGUAGCAGAAAAGCUGCUAGGGAAACCUGUGUUCCUGUGUGAGGGGAAAGAAAGACAUCUCUCCUGGAAAGGGUGAAGAUCUCUUAAAGUUGGCAAGCAUUAUCUUGAAAAUAAAGGAGACCAGCACCAGGGAAGAAUCAGCUGGGGAGGGUAUAGAUGGAUUAGGUUCUGUCUUGGAUAUGAAGAGGACAAGCAGAUUCCAUAAAGCAGCGGGCAGGGCAGAAAUGGCUGGUGAGCAUGAGACUGCCAGCUGCUGUGCAAGUGCUUCAGGACACAGAGAACCUGCAGGAUCACCAUAUGGAGAACAGACAUAUGCUAUACAGCCUAG
ensembl:lncRNA